rnacentral:misc_RNA from 1 species
AGUAUACUCUUCUAUUUCCUCUUUCUGUUUGUUUUUGUGCCCACCUUGUUUCAAACAGAUGACUCGGGUAUUAAUAUCAAGUUCUCAACCUUAAUUAAUUAUUUUAUGAAGUUGGAAGAGGAGGGAAUGGUGGAGGAAGGAGAACAAGUGGUAGUAGAAGAAAGAGCUUGUCUUUCUUUUUGUUUAGUUGCACAGUACUGAGUUGGCA